UGAGCUCGCAGUCCGGCUGCGUACCACUGUUGGGAAGGGAACAUAGUCAAGGUGUUUCUCUGGGCUACUCCUCACUCACCUGAGGAUGCUGCCUGACCUGCUGAGUGUUUGGAAUUGGAAUUGGUUUAUUAUUGUCACAUGUAGUGAGCACACAAGAUAGAAGCCUGCUCAAGCAUGGUCAAGGUCAAGGUCACAGUUGAUCUUCUGGAAUCCCAGUAGAGGCUGUUC